AAUAGAUACCCUGGUAGUCCACGCCGUAAACGGUGGGCACUAGGUGUGGGCGACAUUCCACGUCGUCCGUGCCGCAGCUAACGCAUUAAGUGCCCCCGCCUGGGGGAGUACGGCCGCAAGGCUAAAACUCAAAGGAAUUGACGGGGACCCGCACAAGCGGCGGAGCAUGUGGCUUAAUUCGACGCAACGCGAAGAACCUUACCAAGGCUUGACAUACACCGGAAACGUCCAGAGAUGGGCGCCCCCUUGUGGUCGGUGUACAGGUGGUGCAUGGCUGUCGUCAGCUCGUGUCGUGAGAUGUUGGGUUAAGUCCCGCAACGAGCGCAACCCUUGUCCCGUGUUGCCAGCAGGCCCUUGUGGUGCUGGGGACUCACGGGAGACCGCCGGGGUCAACUCGGAGGAAGGUGGGGACGACGUCAAGUCAUCAUGCCCCUUAUGUCUUGGGCUGCACACGUGCUACAAUGGCCGGUACAAUGAGCUGCGAUACCGCGAGGUGGAGCGAAUCUCAAAAAGCCGGUCUCAGUUCGGAUUGGGGU
rnacentral:rRNA from 1 species